GACGAACGCUGGCGGCGUGCCUAAUACAUGCAAGUCGAACGAACCGCGACUAGGUGCUUGCACUUGGUCAAGGUGAGUGGCGAACGGGUGAGUAACACGUGGGUAACCUACCUCAUAGUGGGGGAUAACAGUCGGAAACGACUGCUAAUACCGCAUAGGACAUAGGAUCACAUGAUUCUGUGAGGAAAGGUGGCGCAAGCUAUCGCUAAGAGAUGGACCCGCGGUGCAUUAGCUAGUUGGCAGGGUAAAGGCCUACCAAGGCGAUGAUGCAUAGCCGACCUGAGAGGGUGAUCGGCCACAUUGGGACUGAGACACGGCCCAAACUCCUACGGGAGGCAGCAGUAGGGAAUCUUCCGCAAUGGACGCAAGUCUGACGGAGCAACGCCGCGUGAGUGAAGAAGGUCUUCGGAUCGUAAAGCUCUGUUGUUAGAGAAGAACAGCGCAUAGAGUAACUGUUAUGCGUGUGACGGUAUCUAACCAGAAAGCCACGGCUAACUACGUG
rnacentral:rRNA from 1 species